UCUAGCCAAACUCCUGUAAAACACAUACAUGCCGUUCCGCCGGCCCCAGGUUUGCUCUAUCUGCUCUUCAGGUCUGCUGUGCGCUCUCUUUGCCCUCGAGCUGCCUGUGUACCUUUGACACGUUCCCCAUCUCCGCAAGGACACUUCGCAGCAUGCCCACCGCCCGAUCGAACAUGUCGGUGUCUAGGCCCUUGUCGCGAAUUAAGGGGAGGUGACGGCAG
rnacentral:lncRNA from 1 species